AACACUACGCUACAACAGUACAAUGCAAUCCUACAAGUAACCAGUUCCGUGUCUGAACUCAGUCAAUACAGAAGACCCCUAAACAAUUUUGUCUACCGAAGGAAAAUAAAACUACCAAUUUGACCAAAAUGUUGCUUCAGUUGAGCAG